UAGGGAAUCUUGCACAAUGGGCGAAAGCCUGAUGCAGCAACGCCGCGUGAAGGAUGAAGGCCUUCGGGUUGUAAACUUCUGUUCUAAGGGAAGAAACAAAUGACGGUACCUUAGGAGCAAGCCCCGGCUAACUACGUGCCAGCAGCUGCGGUAAUACGUAGGGGGCAAGCGUUAUCCGGAAUUAUUGGGCGUAAAGAGUGCGUAGGUGGUUACCUAAGCGCAAGGUUUAAUUUAGAGGCUCAACCUCUACUUGCCUUGCGAACUGGGCUACUUGAGUGCAGGAGGGGAAAGCGGAAUUCCUAGUGUAGCGGUGAAAUGCGUAGAUAUUAGGAGGAACACCAGCGGCGAAGGCGGCUUUCUGGACUGUAACUGACACUGAGGCACGAAAGCGUGGGUAGCAAACAGGAUUAGAUACCCUGGUAGUCCACGCCGUAAACGAUGAGCACUAGGUGUUGGGCCCGUUAGGGCUCAGUGCCGCAGUUAACGCAAUAAGUGCUCCGCCUGGGGAGUACGCUCGCAAGAGUA
rnacentral:rRNA from 1 species